CAGUCGCCGCGGGAACACCAGCACCUCGAGUGGUCAGGAGGUUUAUUGGGCCUAAAGCAUCCGUAGCCGGUUGCAUAAGUUUUCGGUUAAAUCUAUGCGCUUAACGUAUAGGCCGCCGAAAAUACUGUGCAGCUAGGGAGUGGGAGAGGUACACGGUACUCGAUAGGAAGGGGUAAAAUCCUUUGAUCUAUUGAUGACCACCUGUGGCGAAGGCGGUGUACCAGAACACGUUCGACGGUGAGGGAUGAAAGCUGGGGGAGCAAACCGGAUUAGAUACCCGAGUAGUCCCUGUCUCUUAUAA
rnacentral:rRNA from 1 species